UUUCUGUAGGUGAACCUGCGGAAGGAUCAUUCAUAAUAAGUGUUUUAUGGCACUUUUUUAAAUCCAUAUCCACCUUGUGUGCAAUGUCAGGGUUGAUUUUUCUCUCGAGAGGAUCAACCCCAAACAUCAACUAUAUCUCAACUCUUUGUCUGAAAAAUAUUAUGAAUAAAACAAUUCAAAAUACAACUUUCAACAACGGAUCUCUUGGCUCUC
rnacentral:misc_RNA from 1 species